rnacentral:lncRNA from 1 species
AGACUUGCCUCAAAGGACAGAGUUCUCUGGAAGAAGAAUCAUGAUAAAGUAGAGGGGUUUUGAGGACACACAGGCAAAAGUAUGGGUACAGUUGCCUUAGGUCUUGGCAGAUGAUGCCCUCGGGCCCCCAUUUUUCCUGUCCUUAGAGACUCCCUGCCCCAGUGGGGACUCAUUGACAACAAUUUCAAGGGGCUGGCCGGAAGCAUGGGUCUUCCUCAUCUGACUGUCAGCUUAUUUCAGCCUACCAUGAAGGGUUCUGGAAGAGUGGGUGAACUGGACUUUGACGAGCCUGUAGAAUGCCAUGCAGGAUGGAGCAGUGACAAAGACAGCAGAAAACACGCGCAGGGACAGCCAAGAUGCAGCAGGUGUGACCGGGGAGGUGGGUGUGGGGAAUGGCUGCAUUCCAGAUGAACAACAGAAAACAAAGCCAUGACUUUGGCGGGGUCUCACAGUGGAGGAUUCAGAGGACAGUCUGAUUGCAACACAUGUUGGUGUUUCUUGGUUACCUGGAGGCCAAUAAAAGAACAGAAAUUCUGGGCCGGGUGCGGAGGCUCACGUCUGUAAUCCCAGGACUAUGGGAGGCUGAGGCAGGCGGAUACUACUCACUGGGCACCCGACUGGCCCCAUCAUGAAGCUUCUGACAGCAGGAAAACACCAGUCAGCCCUGUAACGAUCAGCCACAAAGUCAUCCACCAGGGCGAUUCAGGUCAUCCACCCCACCUCAAUUGUGUUUGUUAGGGACAAAUAUUUAGAAGUUUCAUGUUUGUGGGAUUAUCUCAAUGUCUUUGCAGUCUGGAGGGUGUCUUUACAGAGCUGAAUGAGUCAAGUGCCUAUUCUGAUGCCAUAGAAUCAUAUAAUUAAAAAGGUCCUUAAAAGAUGACGUCACUCCAGCUCAAUGGGUUGGGGGAUCUCCUCUGGGAGAAAUGUUUUGGAUCUAGACAGAGGGGCAUUACACAACAUUGUCAAUGUAGUAAAUGCCACUAAAUUUGCACCUGAAAAUGGUUAAUUUUUUGUUGUGUGAAUUUCAUCUCAAUUUUUAAAAAAGAUUAUAUCGUUCAGUCUUUUAUUUUGAAGAUGUGGGAACAAGUAGUGGGAGGAUGGUAUCCAAAGCCCACUCAGGGUGCAGGCAGGUCCCUAACACACCGAUCACCCUGCCCAGACUUCAACCUAAUCAUUCCCGCUUCGCUACAUGGCCUGUGCUGUCGUAAGGCAGUGAGCUCAGGGCUGAAUGUACCCAGCAGAGAAAAUUCAUAUCCUCAAAAACUCUCUCCCCAGAAGUUUUGUGAUUUUGUUUGUUCAUGUAUUUUUUCCCACAAUAAGGAAAUAAAAAUGUAUCUAGACUUACA